rnacentral:rRNA from 1 species
UGCCAGCAGCCGCGGUAAAACGUAGGACGCAAACGUUAUCCGGAAUUACUGGGCGUAAAGCGCGCGCAGGCGGGCUAAUAAGUCAUGCGUGAAAGCUCCCGGCUAAACUGGGAGAGGUCGGAUGAUACUGUUAGUCUUGAGGAUGUCAGAGGUAUGUGGAAUUCCGCGUGUAGUGGUGAAAUGCGUAGAGAUGCGGAGGAACACCAGUGGCGAAGGCGGCAUACUGGGGCAUAACUGGCGCUGAGGCGCGAAAGCAUGGGUAGCGAACGGGAUUAGAUA